rnacentral:tRNA from 1 species
GCAAGGGUUACCGAGCUUGGCCAAAGGUGCUAGAUUCAGGGUCUAGUCGUUAGUCGUUCGAGGGUUCGAAUCCCUUCCCUUGAA